ACUAAGAGGUCUCCUUAGGUUCAACUGAAUGUGCAAAUUCACGGGACAACCAUAGGCCAUCCUGAGCACCUGUCCACCCAGAAUAUUACAGGACAAGAACUAAUGCAUAUGCCAAUCUGCUGUAAAAGCAUGGUCUGCUGUACCUGAGAAUGCGAGAAAAUUAAGUUCAAGAUCACCUGAUGAAGUACCUUCAUCAAUUUUCAACUUCAAGCAUUGGCAGAAUUCAUCAACUGUUAUGUGGUACGCUGUUUAUUUAAUGAAGACUUGUACAUAUCUUCCUUGUCUCUUACAAUUUAUUACAUCUUUGUGAUAUUUUCUUCUUAAUAAAAGUUGCUUAAUCAAUUAUUUUUUAUAAUGCUCUUAAUAUUUUGGGCAUUCCUUGAAUUUUCAGUUAUUAGAUUGUUAAUUACUUAAUACAGACAGAAACUAGUGUCCAAAGAGGCUUAAAACUUAAGAUCAACCUGAAAUGAAGAUAAUUUAUUGACAAUAAGUUAAAAGAAAAAUAAGAAUUAAAAAAUUAAAUUUCUUCAACUUCCUCUUUAAAGUAUCACUCCAAGUGAUGCACACUAAGAUAUUCAAAGCUAACAUUAUGGCCUAAAAUAGUACAACUGAGCAAUUUAUAAUCACUUCUAACUGUAUGAAAUCACUCUCAAUAUAAUCAAAAUAAAGUUGGCAUCUGUAUUGCUGA
rnacentral:lncRNA from 1 species